GUAGGUGGCAAGCGUUGUCCGGAAUUAUUGGGCGUAAAGCGCGCGCAGGCGGUUCUUUAAGUCUGAUGUGAAAGCCCACGGCUCAACCGUGGAGGGUCAUUGGAAACUGGGGAACUUGAGUGCAGAAGAGGAAAGCGGAAUUCCACGUGUAGCGGUGAAAUGCGUAGAGAUGUGGAGGAACACCAGUGGCGAAGGCGGCUUUCUGGUCUGUAACUGACGCUGAGGCGCGAAAGCGUGGGGAGCAAACAGGAUUAGAUACCCUGGUAGUCCACGCCGUAAACGAUGAGUGCUAAGUGUUAGGGGGUUUCCGCCCCCCUUAGUGCUGCAGCUAACGCAUUAAGCACUCCGCCUGGGAGUACGGCCGCAAGGCUG
rnacentral:rRNA from 1 species